rnacentral:rRNA from 1 species
GACGAACGCUGGCGGCGUGCUUAACACAUGCAAGUCGAACGGAAAGGCCCUGCUUUUGUGGGGUGCUCGAGUGGCGAACGGGUGAGUAACACGUGAGUAACCUGCCCUUGACUUUGGGAUAACUUCAGGAAACUGGGGCUAAUACCGGAUAGGAGCUCCUGCUGCAUGGUGGGGGUUGGAACGUUUCGGCGGUUGGGGAUGGACUCGCGGCUUAUCAGCUUGUUGGUGGGGUAGUGGCUUACCAAGGCUUUGACGGGUAGCCGGCCUGAGAGGGUGACCGGCGACAUUGGGACUGCGAUACGGCGCAGACGCCUACGGGAGGCAGCAGGGGGGAAUAUUGCACAAUGGGCGCAAGCCUGAUGCAGCGACGCCGCGUGCGGGAUGACGGCCUUCUGGUUGUAAACCGCUUUAGCCUGUGACGAAGCGUGAGUGACGGUAAUGGGUAAAGAAGCACCGGCUAACUACGUG